UACGUAGGGGCUAGCGUUAUCCGGAAUUACUGGGCGUAAAGGGUGCGUAGGUGGUCUCUUAAGUCAGAGGUGAAAGGCUACGGCUCAACCGUAGUAAGCCUUUGAAACUGGGAAACUUGAGUGCAGGAGAGGAGAGUGGAAUUCCUAGUGUAGCGGUGAAAUGCGUAGAUAUUAGGGGGAACACUGGUGGCGAAGGCGACUUUCUGGACGAUAACUGACGCUGAGACGCGAAAGCGUGGGGAGCAAACAGGAUUAGAUACCCUGGUAGUCCCUGAGCGGG
rnacentral:rRNA from 1 species